CCUGCAGUGCCUGACAUGCUGGCCUGCUGCUGUUCAGACACAGUUGUACAUCUGGUGAACUGAGCUGCGCUGCUUCAUCUCUUGAACCCCUUUGGAUUUGAGUCCUUUCUUUGUUCUCUCCAAACCCACAGAAUCAAUGAGGUUAGAAAAGACCUUUGAGAUCAUCAGGUCCAACCUACGACAUAAC
rnacentral:lncRNA from 1 species